rfam:Indibacter alkaliphilus LW1 Indibacter_contig_29, whole genome shotgun sequence.
CCCAGGGUUAAAACCCUGGGCUAUAACAUCUACGCCCUUACAGGGCU